UAGCCUACAUCUCACUCAUUUUAACCAGCAUUUAAUCAGCACAGGUAGCAGCAAAGCAGAGUGAAACUAUUCUGCCAGUAAAAUAAUGUCUCGGAGUGAAAAGAAAGAGAGAAAGAUUUAACAACAAAUGGGUCAACAGCAGCCCUGAAGAAGAACAAAGGCAAGCGCAUACAGUCCAUUGUCUUCCACUUUCCAAGUCUCGUCUAGACUUAGGACUGCGACACAGAAUUACAUGCCGCGAACCAUCCCACUGCUCAGAAAGCUUCCCAGUGUGGGAUGAGUAAGUCCUCCCUCAGACUAUAAGUGAGACUGAGGGGUCAACAUGAUGGAAGUGAUGAAGGCUGAUGCUCUUCGUUUGUGUGGGAGGGAAAUUCCAAGCGGAUGAUGAUGGAAGUUUUCUACUGCUGCUCCUGUGGCUGAUGGGUUCCGCAGACCAACACUCAAGGCCGUGCUUCAUGCUGUGUUGCUUGGAGGGAAACCGGAUGAAUGCCUUAGGUAUUGUGGUCUUCCGUCUCCUACCCUCUCACGCCUUCUUCCACCAAGAAGAAACAUCCAACUCUUACCAAAUAACAUAAGGGACAUCUCAUCUCUUCUGUUUCCAAUUUAAAGGACUGACAUCGUUUCAUGACAAAUGUAAAGCAGAGAGGCUGCACCAACAUGCUGAACAGAUAUGUGAAAAAUGACAAUGUAUAUAUAAUUUACAAAUCUCAUGCACGUGUUCAACACUCCUAAUUCAACAUAUACUUCACCACUUGUCUGAAUACAAAGUGAACCCUAAUACCAAAGCAGAGCAUAAUCGCAACAGCAGUAAUUUACUGCAACUGGUGCAAUUAGGGCUGACACAGUAUUCUUUAAUGGUGUCAUCAAUCUUGUGAAGAACAAGGGGUCUUUCUUCUGUUAGAUUUACAGUUUAGGGAGGCAGAGAAACACAGGCCAGAUGUAAAACCCCUUGUCUUUUGCAAAUCAACUGCAGAUAUGGAACUACUACUAUGAUUAUCGGAUGUAAAUAAGAUGCUUUACUUUUUUUUCAAAUUUUCUACAUAAUUCCCUAGAGAAUCAUAAGUGAACUUGCAUGA